GGUUUGUUGUCUGGCUCGAGG
rnacentral:miRNA from 2 species